rnacentral:rRNA from 1 species
AUGGCACGGCGCUUUCUGGCUGUGCUCACCGUGGCCCUGGUGCUCUUGCAGGCCGCCUCAGCCAAGUCCUGGCUGGACAAGAGGUUCAACACGGACGGCACCGUCCGCACGGGGUACGACGCCUCGGGCCAGCAGGUGGUGAUGCUCAACCUCAACUCAAGAUGGCAACGGGGACGAAACCCAUCAGGUUUUGCCUUUCCAAACUCAUUCCCACGAGAAAAUCAUAAACCCGUCCCCGUCACCAUCACCAUGUGCGGGGCUAGUUUUCUGCCCGUCCCCUAA